rnacentral:lncRNA from 10 species
AAAGCAGCAGCCACAGAGCUCUCCUCCCCUCUGGUCUGAUGCUCUCACUGCCACUUUCUGUAAGCUGUGCUGGAGUAAGUUGUGCUGUGGAAAAGUGAUAGCUGAGCCUGCUGUCCAUGACAAACAUUGAAAUAUUCAAUAAAAAUAAGAGACAGGAAAGAAGGAGCUGAGUCUCCCCAGAAGAGGAAGUUUGAUAGAUUCCCAGAAGUGGAAUUGCUUGGUCAAACGCAACUGAGCGAUUCUCUGACAGAACAUCGUGGAUUGAGAGGAAAUAAGAAUGGGUGUGCCUGCUUUAGGAUUACACAGUGCUGGACCUUUGAGGAAGGAGAAGCAGAGAUGGAUAGAAUUGUUGUGGCAGAACUGAGCUUGUAUACUUGGUCCUGUGGAGGGUAUCUACUCUUCUUCCAGCUGCGUAGGGUAAAUAAAGGUUUUUGUAAAGC